rfam:Otolemur garnettii contig142300, whole genome shotgun sequence.
GCACACCCACUUCGGCAGCACAUUUACUAAAAUUGGAGUAAUACAAAGAAGAUUAGCAUGGCCCCUGCACGAGGAUGAUAACGUAAAUUCAUGAAGCAUUCCAUAUUUUU